ACCAGUGACAGAUUAGCUCUCCAUCGCCGCUCCUCCUCACGUUCACCGGCAACCGGAGCACCGAUUCACCUCCUUGUUGGUCACCGUCGCGUGAGAUCCAUCACCCUCGGAAGCUUGAUCGGUGGCUUCUUCAUCACCCACGGAGUGCACGGGUGUAUGUAUGUGCUCGGAGCUCAAGAGUGGUUGCAUCUGAAGCUCUAACUUUGGCAGUGGAAGUUGUUCUUUAGUCACUUCCUGAUGUCUCUUUUUUGGAGGAAGCUACUUCAAAGGUUGAUAUGAAAGACAUUUAUUUUUGUACAAUCCUCUAUUUUAGAAAUCCAAUAUUUUUUUAUGUAAUAUUUAAUUUAGAUGGAUUAUAUUUGGUUGAUAUGGAUUUAUAUGAUAUUUGGAAUAUGAUGUUACAA